GAUGAACGCUGGCGGCGUGCUUAACACAUGCAAGUCGAACGGUGAAGGCGGAGCUUGCUCUGCUGGAUCAGUGGCGAACGGGUGAGUAACACGUGAGCAAUCUGCCCCUGACUCUGGGAUAAGCGCUGGAAACGGCGUCUAAUACUGGAUACGAGCUGCGAAGGCAUCUUCAGCAGCUGGAAAGAAUUUCGGUCAGGGAUGAGCUCGCGGCCUACCAGCUUGUUGGUGAGGUAAUGGCUCACCAAGGCGUCGACGGGUAGCCGGCCUGGGAGGGUGACCGGCCACACUGGGACUGAGACACGGCCCAGACUCCUACGGGAGGCAGCAGUGGGGAAUAUUGCACAAUGGGCGAAAGCCUGAUGCAGCAACGCCGCGUGAGGGACGACGGCCUUCGGGUUGUAAACCUCUUUUAGCAGGGAAGAAGCGAAAGUGACGGUACCUGCAGAAAAAGCGCCGGCUAACUACGUG
rnacentral:rRNA from 1 species